UACGAAGGGAGCUAGCGUUGUUCGGAAUCACUGGGCGUAAAGCGCACGUAGGCGGAUGUGUCAGUCAGGGGUGAAAUCCCGGAGCUCAACUUCGGAACUGCCCUUGAUACAGCACGUCUUGAGUCCGGAAGAGGUGGGUGGAAUUCCUAGUGUAGAGGUGAAAUUCGUAGAAUAUUAGGAAGAACACCGGUGGCGAAGGCGGCGACCUGGGUAGAUACUGACGCUGAGGCGCGAAAGCGUGGGGAGCAAACAGG
rnacentral:rRNA from 1 species